AUGGCGGUUCUUAAUGAAUACAAGGGUCCAAAAAGUCAUUGAAGAUUAAGCUGAAGCUGGCCAAGAAGCUUCGCCAGAACCAGCCGAUCCCACAGUGGAUUCGGUCACGGACUGGCAAUACAAUCAGGUACAACGCGAAGAGGCGCCACUGGCGUCGCUCCAA